AGUGAACGCUGGCGGUAGGCCUAACACAUGCAAGUCGAACGGCAGCACAGUAAGAGCUUGCUCUUACGGGUGGCGAGUGGCGGACGGGUGAGGAAUACAUCGGAAUCUACUUUUUCGUGGGGGAUAACGUCGGGAAACUUACGCUAAUACCGCAUACGACCUACGGGUGAAAGCAGGGGAUCUUCGGACCUUGCGCGAUUGAAUGAGCCGAUGUCGGAUUAGCUAGUUGGCGGGGUACAGGCCCACCAAGGCGACGAUCCGUAGCUGGUCUGAGAGGAUGAUCAGACACACUGGAACUGAGACACGGUCCAGACUCCUACGGGAGGCAGCAGUGGGGAAUAUUGGACAAGGGGCGCAAGCCUGAUCCAGCCAUACCGCGUGGGUGAAGAAGGCCUUCGGGUUGUAAAGCCCUUUUGUUGGGAAAGAAAAGCAGCAGGUUAAUACCCCGCUGUUCUGACGGUACCCAAAGAAUAAGCACCGGCUAACUUCGUG
rnacentral:rRNA from 1 species